GACGCGGUGGCCUAAUGGUUAACGCGAUGGACUCUGGAUCGAGUAGUCCAGGUUCGAUCCCUGGCCAGGGUCA